rnacentral:rRNA from 1 species
AGCGAACGCUGGCGGCAGGCUUAACACAUGCAAGUCGAGCGGGCACUUCGGUGUCAGCGGCAGACGGGUGAGUAACACGUGGGAACGUACCCUUCGGUUCGGAAUAACGCUGGGAAACUAGCGCUAAUACCGGAUACGCCCUUGUGGGGAAAGGUUUACUGCCGUAGGAUCGGCCCGCGUCUGAUUAGCUAGUUGGUGGGGUAAUGGCCUACCAAGGCGACGUUCAGUAGCUGGUCUGAGAGGAUGAUCAGCCACACUGGGACUGAGACACGGCCCAGACUCGUACGGGAGGGAGGAGUGGGGUAUAUUGGACAAUGGGCGCAAGCCUGAUCCAGCCAUGCCGGGGAAGUGAUGAAGGCCGUAGGGUUGUACAGCUCUUUUGUCCGGGGCGAUAAUGACGGUACCGGAAGAAUAAGCCCCGGCUAACUUCGUG